rnacentral:rRNA from 1 species
AUAUCAUUAGGCGGAGGAAAAGAAACGAACAAGGAUUCCCCUAGUAACGGCGAGUGAAUGGGGAUGAGCCCAGCACUGAAUCCCUCGGCAUUGAUCGCUGUUGGGAAAUGUAGUGUGAAGGAGACUCGAUCCGGUACGGACAACCAUUCAAGUCCCCUUGACAGGGGCCACAGCCCACAGACGGUGCAGGCAGGUCGUA